rnacentral:rRNA from 1 species
UACGUAGGGGGCGAGCGUUGUCCGGAUUUAUUGGGCGUAAAAGGCUUGUAGGUGGCCACGGAAAGUCGGAUGUGAAAUCUCCCGGCUCAACUGGGAGGGGUCAUUCGAUACUGCCGGGCUCGAGGCCGGUAGGGGGAAGCGGAAUUCCCGGUGUAGUGGUGGAAUGCGUAGAUAUCGGGAGGAACACCAGUGGCGAAGGCGGAUCUCUGGACAGUUCCUGACGCUGAGGCGCGAAGGCCAGGGGAGCAAAGCGGG